CACCAUCUCCUCUCCCUCUCUCUCUCUCUAGGCCGAUCGUGAGCACGGUUGAGGACUUCGUCGCCGACGUCGCGCCGCGAGCCGUUCGAGCGCACGUGUUGCCGGGGCGCUGCGAGGAGGCCGGGCGAGGGUGCGUCUUCGCCGUUCCUGUCGCCGCACCGCCGUUCAUCGCUGUUGAGAUUUCCUGCGUCGACUGUUAGUAUUUCGGCUCGUUCUCCGCGUAGGAGCGUCGGAUCGCGACGAAACUUGGUUCAUUGGAUUCUAGACUGCGAGAGGAUUCCACAGAGCCCUCAUUUGCAAUUUUUGGACAAGCUUGGCGUUGGCUUGGCGACCGGACUUGGAGAUCCCCGAUUGAUCCAGCAGAGUUCCUUCUAGGCCGAGGCUUCGUUUGCUGCCAGGAGAUAGCACUUUAGAGCCACAGGUUCAGGCUGCUGCUUCCUCUGCUGAGCAGGAUCGUGGCAAGGGCGUCGCGAGCUAGAGCCCUACCAGACUGAUCGAGUUAGAGGCGUCCUCCCCUUACAGCAGGUAGUGAUUUUUCUUUUGGAGCUUUUGUACAUAGCAGUUGAACUCGCCAGUGCGAGUGGUUUUGUACUUGGGAUUUGUGACUAUGUAUAAAA